rnacentral:tRNA from 1 species
UCCUUGGUAGUGUAAUGAAUGAAGCACGACAGACCGGAUAUCUGUAAGUGCGAGUUCGAGUCUCGCCUGAGGUU